rnacentral:rRNA from 1 species
UACGGGGGGGGCAAGCGUUGUUCGGAAUUACUGGGCGUAAAGGGCUCGUAGGCGGCCAACUAAGUCAUACGUGAAAUCCCUCAGCUUAACUGGGGAACUGCGUGUGAUACUGGAUGGCUUGGAUUUGGGAGAGGGAUGCGGAAUUCCAGGUGUAGCGGUGAAAUGCGCAGAUAUCAGGAGGAACACCGAUGGCGAAGGCAGAUCUCUGGGCCGUAACUGACGCUGAGGAGCGAAAGCAUGGGGAGCGAACAGG